rnacentral:rRNA from 1 species
GACGAACGCUGGCGGCGUGCCUAAUACAUGCAAGUCGAACGCAGUGGGGACGGGUGAGUAACAAGUGGGUAACCUCCCAUCAGAGGGGAUAACACUUGGAAAAAGGUGCUAAACCGAUACCGGAGGAUGGAGCCGCGGUGCAUUGGCUAGGUGGUGGGGUAACGGCCCACCAGGGCCACGAUGCAUAGCCGACCGGAGAGGGUGAUCGGCCACACGGGAAUUGAGACCCGGCCCAGACUCCUACGGGAGGCAGCAGUAGGGAAUCUUCGGCAAUGGACGAAAGUCUGACCGAGCAACGCCGCGUGAGUGAAGAGGGUUUUCGGAUCGUAAAGCUCUGUUGUUAGGGAAGCGGUAUCUAACCAGAAAGCCACGGCUAACUACGUGCCAGCAGCCGCGGUAAUUC